rnacentral:rRNA from 1 species
UACGUAGGGUGCAAGCGUUAAUCGGAAUACUGGGCGUAAAGCGUGCGCAGGCGGUGAUGUAAGACAGGUGUGAAAUCCCCGGGCUUAACCUGGGAACUGCAUUUGUGACUGCAUCGCUGGAGUGCGGCAGAGGGGGAUGGAAUUCCGCGUGUAGCAGUGAAAUGCGUAGAUAUGCGGAGGAACACCGAUGGCGAAGGCAAUCCCCUGGGCCUGCACUGACGCUCAUGCACGAAAGCGUGGGAGCAAAUAGG